CAGGAUAUCGAUCACACGUGUCACAGCAGAUAUUUCUUUAGCCAAACGGUCUGUUCUCAACAACCCCAGUAAAAGGGCCAUCAUCGAAAGAUCCAACACUCGCUCCAGCUUAGCUGAGGUGCAGAGUGAGAUCGAGAGGAUCUUCGAGUUGGCCCGCUCCCUGCAGCUGGUGGUUCUGGACGCCGACACCAUCAACCACCCGGCCCAGCUCCUCAAGACCUCCCUGGCCCCCAUCAUCGUCCAUGUUAAGGUCUCCUCGCCAAAGAAACAUGGUGGUGCAACAUGGCAGCCUCCGUAGAAGAGGACCCGCUCCAGAUGUAAAUAUAAAUGGCACAAUCCUGGGUAAUGUAAACAAUACUUUGUUGAGUUGGUGAUGGUUUCAGUUCUGCACAGAAGCACCUCUGCAUGGAUCUGCUGCAUUUCCUCUACUCUGGGUCUACAGCUAUCACCACUCAGAAUAAUCAAGGCCCUCCCAGAUGCUACGCCUGUGCGUCUUCAGGCCGUCACUUCCUGGUCUACCACACUGGUUUUUACAACGCACCUUCCUAGCAUGCGAA